ACAUGGUCAUGCAUCCAAAAUGUUUAUUUUUAACAAAAUAAACACUUUAAAAAUAAUAAUUAGCACUUUUUUUUAUUCAGCCUCAUAUGUCAGCCUCAUAUGGCUGUUGCUGCUGCUGCUGCUGGAGGAGGCUGCUGCUGCUGAAGGAGGGUGCUGCUGCUGGAGGAGGGUGCUGCUGCUGAAGGAGGGUGCUGCUGCUGGAGGAGGGUGCUGCUGCUGGAGGGUGCUGCUGCUGAAGGAGGCUGGUGCUGGCAACGGCUGCAGGUGAUGACUGCUGAAAGAAGAGGAGGCUGGAGGCUGCUGACGGUGGACCGGGAAUGGAGAUGCCAAGUACAUCGAUGGCAACGAGUAAGGUGUUUGGCAGUGGCCUAGAUGUUAUGACCUUCGGUGCAGAGGUCAUGGCAUGAGGGAAGGUUGCUGUCCAGCAACAUGGCUUCUUGUGCCAGCUGUGACACUGCAUUUGAGGACUCCAUGAGGGAAUCGCUCGUCCUCACACGGAACAGCUGCUCCACGUUCUGAACAAGGGUGAAAACCUCAUCAGAUGGACGGUAAAGUGCACCCCUUUUAAAUUAUUUUAAUACCAGCAGACCAGCUCUCUCAUUUUCACCAUCACUGACAUUUUUCACUAGGGCACACUGGCAUUUGUCACAAAGUGAGAAGCUGAUGACCCUUUUCACGAUGUAUCCUGCAAGGUGGUAUAGCACACAGGACUCAGUUUUAGUGAUGUCAGGUGGUGUUGUCAGGUCUACUAGCUGCUCCACUCUCAGAACGUCAGGAGGACUGCAGCUGCUGUUCUGCAUGUCCAGGAAGUGUGCCAAGUGGUCUGAUCCAUCCUCCACGUAACUGCCAGUAUGCACUGGCAAUAGGAACUGGCCCACAGUGACAGCGCGCAGAGCAUAUUGGAACUCUACAGGUGUUGGGACAGAGUUCCUCAGACGAAUGGACGAAAAUGUGUUUUCCAGGCAGUCUUGAGUGAAGCGGCUUGUGAGAACAAAUUUGUGCCCUUGUCUCAACAGGUCAUGCUGGACCUCCAGGAUUGUUGUUGUGGCCAUCAUCAGUCCUGUCUGGACUUCCAGCUGCCCUUGGGACCGAUCUUCAGGCCCCGAAACAGAUGGAUGGAGUCCCGGAGGAAGCUGAUGGCCUUAUCAUACUCCUCCAUCUUGAAAUGACUUAGGGGAGUAACAGUGUUGCGUGACGACAUGAGGUCAAACCAGUGGUCCACCGUCUCCAAAAACCACGCAGUGGUAAGGUAGGACUCUGGUCUGUGCUCCUCUGCCACCAUGUACCUCAGGGCAGCACUCGAUGACUCCACACUUCAAAUGUCAUUGAAGAGUCAUAAUUCUCUACACUUGGAAAUAUGAUGCCCUUUAAAAUGUUAACAAGUCAUGUCACCUCUGUGAACAUUACUUACAUGACAGUUUUCUGCUGUUGUUGUUGUCCUCUGUCAGACACAGGUUUUGUCUGUUGACCAUUGCCAUCCAUCUCUUCCUUCGCUCUAUGUCCUUAGAGAAGCCAUACAUCCGGAACCCCUUCUCGGAUCGAUUAGAGCAUCCAAAUGCUGCACAUCCAACCAUGGGCCCAGGAAACAGAUGAAGAGGAUGAACCUUUCACAAAGGAACCUUUUUAUUUUUUUCAAAAUGGUUAGGAUGCCCGAGAGUUCUGUAUUGCUUUUUUGUAAAUAGUUGCUUACCCUAACCCUUUUUUGUAAAUAGUGGCUUACCCU